UUAUUAACAGUAGCAGUUUCCAUUUAUUGAGAGCUUACUAUGGAGUAGGCACUGAACACUCACGAUAAUUCUAUGAAGUAUUAUUAUUAACCCCAUCUAUCAGUUGAAGAAAAAUGAGACCCAGAAAGGUUAAGCAAGUCAUUUAAAGUCACAGAACAAACAAGGUUCCUGGAUUUUCCUAUGCACCUGUAUCUGUGUGGACCCAAAGCCCCGGCACUUCACAAUGAACUCCAGCGUCCUCUAGAAAUCUAGGAACCGAAGGACUUCUUGACAAACUGCUCUACGACAGUAACGAGGCCUUAGAGCUGCAGCCAGACUGACUUCGAGUUUCGGCCGCAUCCUUUUCUGUGACCCUCAGCAGGUUCCUUCACUCUUUUGAGCCUCAGUUUCCCCAAUUGUAUAACGAGGGUAAAAAACCACGCCUUUCUCUCAGGGUUAUUGUGGGUAUUCAUUGAGAAGACGUGUGUGGAGCCCGGUGUCCGGCACCCAGUGAGAGCCUGGAACAAUCAUUAGGAUGUCUGAGUCCUUAUCACUCGUGCGCAGCACAACACGACCGUGGGCACAGGGUUGAAGGCGGUUCCCUACGCCUAGCCUCUCGAUAGGAACCUUCAGGGACGGGUGGACUUAAAGGAGCCGGUGGCCUUAAGAGUCCAGUCGAUGCUGCCACGUGAUGGGCCUGGGGGAAAGCCCCGAUCCCAAGCGCCAACAGAGCAGCCGACCUCAGCCAACCUCAACCAACACGUAGGCGAGGAUGCCCAGGGUGAGCGCCAGCGGCGAGAAGACGCGCUAUCGCGAGAUCGGUGGGACCUACGCGUUUACAGGCCGGAAGUGAGGGGCGGGCCUAAGGGGGCGCGCUCCUUUUGAAACCUGAGACGGAGACCUGCGGAGGGCGAGGGCUGGUUGGAGGUCGCUGUCCUUUCUGGGAACCAAGCAGGGGUCGCAGGAGGGCGGGGAUGGGUCAGCGGGGAUCUCUGAGUGGGGUUCGGCUGAGAGAGGCCACAGUUUCAUCUUUGGGAAGCUACCCUGGGCCGGCCACGCGCCGUGAGCCGGACUGGCGACGCCCCCCUGCCUCCACCGUGCUCCUUCACCCGAGAAAUUCAGCUCAGCCCCAGCCUCUCGGCAACCUCCCUUUGGCUCCGCCUUUUAAAGGACCUUUACGGUACCAUGUGUAGAAGCGCUGGCCCAGAGAUGAAGAUGAAGUUUCUAUCCUUAAGGCAUGCAAUGUGGGAGAUGAACAGAGACAGGCAAGAGAGCCACAGAAGAGAAAGUGAUGUGAAGACAGAAGCAGGGAUUGGAGUGAUCCAUCUACAAGCCAAGAAAUACCAAUGGUUGCUGCCAGCCACCAGGAUCUAGGAGAGUGGCAUGGAACAGAUUUUCCCUUAGAGCUUCCAGAAAGAACUAACCCUGUCAACACUGUGAUUCUGGACAGUGAGAGAGAAAUUUCUAUUGUUUUAAGCCAUCAAGUUUGUGGUAAUUUGUUAUGGCAACCGUAGGAAACAUCACCCAGUAAAUCCAAAUUAAAUAUUAUCCCAAUUUUUGCUUGAUACCAGAAAUGGCUGUAGUGUUUCAACACCCUCUAGCAUAAGAGAAUUGUAACAGGGGAAGCUGGUGUGGAAACAGACAGCAGUCUGAACCAGUUUGGACAAAAAUACUGGUCUUGCAAAUUUUAGAAAAAGCACACAACCUCUGAACACAUGACUAGGGCCCCUUCCAGGAACUUAGAAGGGGCCCGGCCGAGGGAGAGUCCCUGAAGCUUAUGUUUAAUACAUUUUACAGAAGAGCUGCCUCGGUGUAGGAAGCAGUGUAGUGUUGCGAAGACAAGCUCUGGAGCCAGACACCCUGGGUUCAAAUCCCAAUUUCGCAACUGUCUAGCUGUUGACUUGAGAGAAGUUACUUAGCCUUUCUGCGCCCCAAUUUCUUCCUUCGUAAAAUAUAAAUGGCAGUAGCACUAUCUGCCUCAUAGGGUUGUUUACCUGGUGAAGUAACAUGAUACACAUAAGGCAC
rnacentral:lncRNA from 1 species